AUUGUGUGAAUACAUAGCACAUUCGAGGUAGACGCAGAGAACUGAAACAUCUAAGUACCUGCAGGAAGAGAAAGAAAAUUCGAUUCCCUGAGUAGCGGCGAGCGAAACGGGAAAAGCCCAAACCAGCAAGCUUGCUUGUUGGGGUUGUAGGACUCCAAUAUGGUAGUUCUUUCAGAUAGUCGAAUGACUUGGAAAAGUCAGUCAAAGAGGGUAAAAACCCCGUAGACGAAAUGUGGAAGACACCUAGGAGGAUCCUGAGUACGGCGGAACACGAGAAAUUCCGUCGGAAUCCGGGAGGACCAUCUCCCAAGGCUAAAUACUCCCUAGUGACCGAUAGUGAACCAGUACCGUGAGGGAAAGGUGAAAAGCACCCCGGAAGGGGAGUGAAAUAGAACCUGAAACCGUGUGCCUACAACAAGUCAAAGCCCGUUAAUGGGUGAUGGCGUGCCUUUUGUAGAAUGAACCGGCGAGUUACGAUUGCAUGCGAGGUUAAGUUGAAGAGACGGAGCCGCAGCGAAAGCGAGUCUGAAUAGGGCGUUUGAGUAUGUAGUCGUAGACCCGAAACCAUGUGAUCUACCCAUGUCCAGGUUGAAGGUGCGGUAAAACGCACUGGAGGACCGAACCCACGUACGUUGAAAAGUGCGGGGAUGAGGUGUGGGUAGCGGAGAAAUUCCAAACGAACUUGGAGAUAGCUGGUUCUCUCCGAAAUAGCUUUAGGGCUAGCCUCGGAAUUGAGAAUGAUGGAGGUAGAGCACUGUUUGGACUAGGGGC
rnacentral:rRNA from 1 species